rnacentral:rRNA from 1 species
UACAGAGGUCCCAAGCGUUUGUUCGGAUUCAUUGGGCGUAAAGGGUGCGUAGGUGGCGCUGUAAGUCGGGUGUGAAAUUUCGGAGCUUAACUCCGAAACUGCAUUCGAUACUGCGGUGCUUGAGGACUGGAGAGGAGACUGGAAUUCAUGGUGUAGCAGUGAAAUGCGUAGAGAUCAUGAGGAAGACCAGUGGCGAAGGCGGGU